GCUGCUGCUCUUGUUAGCUGCUCUCCUCUUUUCCUCACAAAUGGUGGAUGGAACACCCAACUCUGUGCCUUUGGACAAGGAGGAAUUGCUGGCGGAGAAGAAGCUGAAACUUCUUAACAGGCCUGCGGUGAAGAGCAUUCAGAGCGAAGAUGGUGACAUAGUGGACUGUGUUGAUCUCUACAAACAGCCAGCCUUCGAUCACCCACUACUCAAAAACCAUACCAUUCAGGUCCAAUAUUUUACUCACCAGCAUGCUAAGCAUACACAAAUAUAAGUCUUUAGACAAUUCCAUGAUCUUCUCCUUUCUAGGAAUGUUUCAGUGACACUGUUACAUAGAAUCGAUACAAGAUUUCCUUCGAUUGGAACUUCUCAGUAUGUUCUUCGACGGGCAUAGAAUGCUGAUAGUAGUUAAUUGUCGCCUUCUUAGUCCUACCAAAAAGAUAAUAUGCAUCGAUUGUUAAUGCUGCAGAUGAAACCCGAUGAUGAGAUCUCCGGCGAAAGAGAUGAGGGAGUUAAAGCACGCGUGCCGUCCCAAGCAUGGCAAAGGAGUGGGAGCUGCCCUGAUGGAACGAUCCCAAUCCUCAGGAUCCAAAAGCAUCACCUGCUCAACGCUGCUUCGAUGGAAGACUACGGCAGGAAGCCAUGGCAUGGCAUGACCAAGCACAAGAUACGUACAUCGAGUCUCUCGGUAGAUGCCGGCAUCGAAGGCCUGCACGCGUAUGGCGUGCUGAUGGCCAGUGGUUUCAGCUACAUCGGAGCCAAAGCAAGCAUCAACAUAUGGAAUCCCCGUGUCGGCGGGGACGACGAAUUCACUACUGCUCAGAUUUGGCUUCGGAAUGGGCCGUACAACAGCUCAGACUCCAUCGAAGCCGGAUGGAUCGUAGAUCCCAGCCUUUAUGGUGACAGGAGGACAAGGUUUUUCGUGUACUGGACGGUAAACCUCUUCGCUCGAUCGAUCUUUCUUUCUUUUACGUACUUCCCUCCCAUAGAUCUUCGCAGACGGACUCCGGGAGGACGAC